ensembl:lncRNA
UGGCAUCAACCACCAGGCAUUAUUUGACACGAUUUUAAGAAAACAUAUCUUGUUUUAAAUAUCUUAUCUUAUCUUAAUAAUAUUACAAUCCUGAGGGACUCUAGAAGAGAAUUGGUAACAUUUUGGUCCGUCUUAAUAAUGGACACUGGGGUGUCAAGUAGAUAUGACACAUGUGGAGGAUACGUUGAAAUAUUCAGCUCUAUUUCAGGUCUCAGCACAGUGGGGGGGUGAGCCCCUAGAGGAAAAGGCCUCCACUGACUCAAUUUCAGAUGAAAAUGGUAUCAGUGCUGAGAAACACAGAUGUACUUGGGAAGCGGCAACAAAACAUGGCUAUCCUGUAAGAAGCAUGACGGUGGCCCCUAAUCAGCAGGCCAAGACCCCCACACACACUCGAGGCCUAUCUAAUGGCUAUUUUAGCCAAGGGUUGCCCAUGCCCAAACAUGACAUGACAUUUUCCAAGACCUUUUUGAGAAAUUUGGAAAUUCCGCACUACCAAACCAGAGACAGAAUAGCCUCUUCUUUUUACCCUGCACUUCCUAAACAAACAGGACACCACAUGCAUGGUUUUGAGGGCACAGAUAACAUAAUUUACAGGAGCACAGAACUUGAGACAGAUUCCAUUCACAGCCUCUCUGUGUCCCACAUAUACGCAGAACUGGAUCUGGAGGAUGAAAGGGAACAUCUGUAUGCGUGCAUCGGGGGGGCAAAUGCUUCAGACUCCCAACACCUAGAUUCCUGUCAGGAGACUGAUGAGGCCUCUGCAACGGGCCAGGAAGAGGAGGAGGAUCAUCCUUAUGAGUGCAUCAGGGAGCCAAAUGGCUCUGAUUCCCAACGUCCACAUUUCUGCACACAGGCUGAGGAGGCCAAGCCAAAGGAGCGCCCAUACCAGACCGUCAACGAGCUGUUCCAGGCCGCCGGCACAAUUGAGCCUGCCACGAGCCAAUCAGGGCCGUCGGUUCAUGUCCCAUCCGCUCUGUCUGACACUAAAGAGCCAGGUUUGACUGGCACAGAGGUGACUGUCGUGUACGCAUCCAUUAACAGGAAAAAAAAGAGCAGAUACCGAACUGCGGCUCUCCCCUCUGCCUCAGACUCCUGUGUCCCAGAGAAGAGCGAGGAGGAUGAGAAUGCAGGCUCAGAACCUCUUCCUCUGAUCCCUGAGAAACAUUUUAUUGUGUAGACAUAGAGCAUUUUGAGUAGUUUCUGAGACACCUGGCUAAAGGUUUGUUUAAGGCUAUAUCGCUUUGUUUGCCACAACAAUAGAAUGAUAUUGCUGCUUUUAAUUUUUUAUUGCAGAUUUUUAUCAAUGACCAAACCACCUGGGCAGUUUCUGAGGUGUGUUAUUUUCUCGUGGUUGCUAUAGAUACUGCACUGCACUUAAUACACUCUGUUUUGUAUACCAUGACAAUCAUUUUUUUAAAAGGCCAACGCACCUAGUCCAUGACUCUGUUGGUAAUGGUAAAACGCUAGUGAAAUCACUGCCUCUGUCGUGAAUGUAUAGGGUAGUUUCACAAUCAGGGGAAGCAGUUUAUUUUUUUUAAAUAUACAUCUGUUGAAGGAUAAAAAACUUGGUUUGUGGCAAUUGGUCAUGGAUAACACUGAGGGAAAAAACAGUCGACAAAUUUAUAAAAAAUUAGAUUUUAAGAUUGUCUGUCUACACAAGGAAAUAUCCCAUCAUAAACAUUUAAAAACUAAAAUAUGGAUAGUACACAUUAUACACAGAAAUAAAUAGCAGUCAUUUUGCAGUUUGUGCAGGACAUAAUGUGCGUGAUGAGUUUUUCAAAACAUAUUUGCGCAUUUUGUUUUG